rnacentral:rRNA from 1 species
AAUUUAAANNNNUACACCUAAAAUUAUAUCUUAAUCCAACAUCGAGGUCGCAAUCUUUUUUAUCAAUAUGAACUUUCCAAAAAAAUUACGCUGUUAUCCCUAAAGUAACUUAAAUUUUUAAUCAAUAUAAUUGGAUCAAUUAUUCAUAAAUUAAUGAUUUAAAUUUUUAAAAGUUAAUUAAAUUUUAAUAUCACCCCAAUAAAAUAUAUUUUUUUAUUAUAAUUAAAAUAAUCUUUAAAAUUAAAAUAAUAAAUAUAUAAAGAUUUAUAGGGUCUUCUCGUCUUUUAAUUAAAUUUUAACUUUUUAAUUAAAAAAUAAAAUUUUAUUAAAAUUUUAAAUGAAACAGUUAAUAUUUCGUCCAACCAUUCAUUCCAGCCUUCAAUUAAAAGACUAAUGAUUAUGCUACCUUUGCACAGUUAAAAUACUGCGGCCAUUAAAAAAAU